CGGCGGCCUGGCGCUUGCGGGCGCGGCGGGCCGGCACCGCCCGGCGCAGGUGGUCGAGGGUGCCGGUGCGCGGUUCGAGGCCGUCGACCGCCGA
rnacentral:tRNA from 1 species